AGCGAACGCUGGCGGCAGGCCUAACACAUGCAAGUCGAGCGCCCAGCAAUGGGAGCGGCAGACGGGAGAGUAACACGUGGGAACGUACCUUUCAGUUCGGAACAACCAAGGGAAACUUUGGCUAAUACCGAAUACGCCCGUAAGGGGAAAGAUUUAUCGCUGAAAGAUCGGCCCGCGUCUGAUUAGCUAGUUGGUGAGGUAAUGGCUCACCAAGGCGACGAUCAGUAGCUGGUCUGAGAGGAUGAUCAGCCUCACUGGGACUGAGACACGGCCCAGACUCCUACGGGAGGCAGCAGUGGGGAAUAUUGGACAAUGGGCGCAAGCCUGAUCCAGCCAUGCCGCGUGGAUGAUGAAGGCCCUAGGGUUGUAAAGUCCUUUCGACGGGGAAGAUAAUGACGGUACCCGUAGAAGAAGCCCCGGCUAACUUCGUGCCAGCAGCCGCCGUAAUAC
rnacentral:rRNA from 1 species